UACGUAGGAUCCAAGCGUUGUCCGGAUUUACUGGGUGUAAAGGGUGCGCAGGCGGACCCGUAAGUCAGGAGUGAAAUCUCGGCGCUUAACGCCGAAACGUCUUUUGACACUGCGGGUCUUGGAUAAGCGAGAGGUUCGUGGAAUUCCGAGUGUAGCAGUGAAAUGCGCAGAUAUCAGGAAGAACACCCGUGGCGAAAGCGGCUCUCUGGAACGGUACUGACGCUGAGACGCGAAAGCGUGGGGAGCGAACAGG
rnacentral:rRNA from 1 species